rnacentral:rRNA from 1 species
GUUUACAUUGGGAGUAAAGUGGCGGACGGGUGAGUAACACGUUGGUGACCUGCCCCGAGGAGGGGGAUAACUGUGGGGAAACCAUAGCUAAUACCCCAGAAGUUGAGAAGUUUAGACGCACUCAACUAAAGUUACGGCGCCUCGGGAGGGGCCUGCGGGCUAUCAGCUAGUUGGUGGGGUAAUGGCCUACCAAGGCAAAGACGGCGUAGGGGGCGUGAGAGCGCGACCCCCCACAAUGGGACUGAGACACGGCCCAU